rnacentral:rRNA from 1 species
ACGGGUGAGUAAUGCCUAGGAAUCUGCCUGGUAGUGGGGGACAACGUCUCGAAAGGGACGCUAAUACCGCAUACGUCCUACGGGAGAAAGUGGGGGAUCUUCGGACCUCACGCUAUCAGAUGAGCCUAGGUCGGAUUAGCUAGUUGGUGUGGUAAUGGCUCACCAAGGCGACGAUCCGUAACUGGUCUGAGAGGAUGAUCAGUCACACUGGAACUGAGACACGGUCCAGACUCCUACGGGAGGCAGCAGUGGGGAAUAUUGGACAAUGGGCGAAAGCCUGAUCCAGCCAUGCCGCGUGUGUGAAGAAGGUCUUCGGAUUGUAAAGCACUUUAAGUUGGGAGGAAGGGUUGUAGAUUAAUACUCUGCAAUUUUGACGUUACCGACAGAAUAAGCACCGGCUAACUCUGUGCCAGCAGCCGCGGUAAUACAGAGGGUGCAAGCGUUAAUCGGAAUUACUGGGCGUAAAGCGCGCGUAGGUGGUUUGUUAAGUUGAAUGUGAAAUCCCCGGGCUCAACCUGGGAACUGCAUCCAAAACUGGCAAGCUAGAGUAGGGCAGAGGGUGGUGGAAUUUCCUGUGUAGCGG